AGAGUCGGCACCUUCAGAUUCUAUCUGUGCCUGUUCAAGACCCAGGCACUUGGUCAUCACUCGCCCUGCAUCACAAGGCUGUUGGCUGCUCUCUGGAAGGAGGUACUAUCUGAUUCGAAUCAGAGUAGAAAGACAAAGUCACUCAAGAGAAUCACCAAAAUAACAUUUUUAACAGAGCAUCCACAAAAGAUGUGUAUUUGUACGUAUCAACAUGCUAAUGGUGGUAAUUAAAACAGUAGAGGUC